CCAGGGCGGGGGCGCCGGGAGCGCGGCGGGGCUCGGCGUGCGGCGCGCCCGGCAUGUCCCUGUACCGCAGUGCCGUGUGGUUGGUCAAGGGGCUGCGCGAGUACACCAAGAGUGGCUAUGAAUCUGCAUCUAAGGACUUUGUCCCUAAUGACUUGGAGGUCCAGGUUCCUGGAAGAGUCUUUUUGGUCACUGGAGGAAACAGCGGCAUUGGCAAAGCAACUGCCCUUGAAAUAGCCAAGCGAGGUGGCACAGUUCACCUCGUUUGUCGAGAUCAAACCCGAGCAGAAGAUGCCAGGAGUGAGAUCAUCCGGGAGAGCGACAACCAGAACAUUUUUCUGCACAUCGUGGACUUGUCUGAUCCCAAGCAAAUCUGGAAAUUUGUUGAAAAAUUCAAGCAGGAACAUAAACUCAAUGUUCUGAUCAAUAAUGCAGGUUGCAUGAUCAAUAAAAGAGAACUCACAGAAGAUGGACUUGAAAAAAACUUCGCUACCAAUACUCUGGGUGUGUACAUUCUCACGACCGGCCUGAUCCCUGUGCUGGAGAAAGAACACGACCCUCGAGUGAUAACCGUCUCCUCAGGAGGAAUGUUGGUUCAGAAACUGAACACUGAUGAUCUCCAGUCUGAAAGGACACCGUUUGAUGGAACUAUGGUCUAUGCACAAAACAAGAGGCAGCAAGUGGUUCUGACGGAGCGGUGGGCCCAAGGACACCCCGCCAUCCAUUUUUCUUCCAUGCAUCCUGGCUGGGCCGACACCCCAGGUGUGAGGAAGGCGAUGCCAGGGUUCCACGCCAGGUUCAGGGACCGCCUGCGCUCCGAGGCCCAGGGCGCCGACACGGUGCUGUGGCUGGCCCUCUCCGCCGCCGCAGCGGCGCAGCCCAAUGGCCGCUUCUUUCAAGAUCGGAAACCAGUUUCUACACACUUGCCUCUCGCUAGAACGUCCUCCUCACUGGCCGAAGAAGAGAAAUUCAUUGAAAUCCUACAACAGCUGGCUCAAACAUUUAAAUAGGCAAACCCAGAAACAACGUGGUAUCAGAAUUGCCUUAGAAAAUACCAGAAGGUGUGGUCUAGGGACCAGUGAACAGACCCAACUUCAACUUCCCCUUGAAGAUGUUGUGCCUUACAGUGAGGGGCCUACAAGGAGGAAGAUGGGCCUCAGCAGUGCUGGAUGUGCGCAAGGCUGUGCUGGCAGCACCGGGACAGGGCAGCUCAGCCACCCCCUCAACGGUGAUUCCGUAACAGGCAGGUCACUUGGUAUCUUUGUACCUGUUUUCCUUCUCCAUAAAAUGAACCCCACAAGUUUUAAAAGAGGCUUUCCCUGGCAGUGUUUGCCCGGAAGUCCUCAUUUGGAAAGUACUAAAUGCAGGAAAAAGCCAACUUCCAUGACAAAGGAAAGGGGCUCCCCGGCCACAGCCCGUAUACGUGCUAGACUAUGGUGAACG